AUGAGCUUCGCUCAAGAGCAUAGCUCAUACCAAAACAAUUACUCACAUGGGUGGCCUGAAAACCCGAAUAUGUCAUAUAGGAGCAACAACCCUGAGAUCUCACCGCUUGCUUCUAGGAAUCAUAUGCAGGGAUUUAGGUAUGAAGAGGAGAGCCACAACUAUGCUCCACAACAGUCUUAUUUAGCUCCUAUUCAUAUACCUCAGCACCAGGAGAUGUUGCCAAUGGAGUUAAAUGGUCCUCCAUUUGGUCAACCAACACCUUCAACACAAGUGCCUACUCAAGAUGAGUUCGAUGACAUAGACAAGCUUGCACUUUUGAGUCUCGAGUUCACUUGGAGUGCCGAGGAUGAUCCUAUUAGGAAGGUUAUACUAGAUGAAAUGAAGAAGAUCAAGAGUGGGAAUGAGCUAGUGGAAGAAGUAAAGAAGAUUGAGAAGAACAUCAACGCUGGCAAUACUAUUUCUUCACAGCUUGAGCUGAGUAAUUCUGGGAUUCCCCUUGAUACUUGUGAGGUUCCAAUACCGUCACAUCCAGCUGAGCAAGAUAGCAAGUGCCUUGAGCAUGAGAUACCUCAGAUUGAAGAUGAACUAGAAGACAAGGAAGAAGAUGAUCAAGAGCUGCAAUUUCCAAGUGAUCAAGUUGAAGACUCAUCAUCUACUAUUCCUGAAGAAGUACAAGAAGCUGCUGUAGAUGAAGAUGAAGAACCAGAAAUUCAUUUACCCAUCGUCAUACAAGAGCGUGAUGUAGCAGGUUUAUCUAAUCCUCUUGAUGACAUGCUUCCUUAUGAGAUCUUUGCUGCUACUUUCCAUUGUGUUAUACCAUCAAUUAAGCUAGACUUGAAAAAUUAUUUGCUUGGACAUGAUCAUACAUACAUUGUUGGUGGCAUUGCUCUCACAUGCUAG
rnacentral:rRNA from 1 species